rnacentral:rRNA from 1 species
AUGCAGUCGAGCGGACAGAUGGGAGCUUGCUCCCUGAUGUUAGCGGCGGACGGGUGAGUAACACGUGGGUAACCUGCCUGUAAGACUGGGAUAACUCCGGGAAACCGGGGCUAAUACCGGAUGGUUGUUUGAACCGCAUGGUUCAGACAUAAAAGGUGGCUUCGGCUACCACUUACAGAUGGACCCGCGGCGCAUUAGCUAGUUGGUGAGGUAACGGCUCACCAAGGCAACGAUGCGUAGCCGACCUGAGAGGGUGAUCGGCCACACUGGGACUGAGACACGGCCCAGACUCCUACGGGAGGCAGCAGUAGGGAAUCUUCCGCAAUGGACGAAAGUCUGACGGAGCAACGCCGCGUGAGUGAUGAAGGUUUUCGGAUCGUAAAGCUCUGUUGUUAGGGAAGAACAAGUGCCGUUCAAAUAGGGCGGCACCUUGACGGUACCUAACCAGAAAGCCACGGCUAACUACGUGCCAGCAGCCGCGGUAAUACGUAGGUGGCAAGCGUUGUCCGGAAUUAUUGGGCGUAAAGGGCUCGCAGGCGGUUUCUUAAGUCUGAUGUGAAAGCCCCCGGCUCAACCGGGGAGGGUCAUUGGAAACUGGGGAACUUGAGUGCAGAAGAGGAGAGUGGAAUUCCACGUGUAGCGGUGAAAUGCGUAGAGAUGUGGAGGAACACCAGUGGCGAAGGCGACUCUCUGGUCUGUAACUGACGCUGAGGAGCGAAAGCGUGGGGAGCGAACAGGAUUAGAUACCCUGGUAGUCCACGCCGUAAACGAUGAGUGCUAAGUGUUAGGGGGUUUCCGCCCCUUAGUGCUGCAGCUAACGCAUUAAGCACUCCGCCUGGGGAGUACGGUCGCAAGACUGAAACUCAAAGGAAUUGACGGGGGCCCGCACAAGCGGUGGAGCAUGUGGUUUAAUUUGAAGCAACGCGAAGAACCUUACCAGGUCUUGACAUCCUUUGACAAUCCUAGAGAUAGGACGUCCCCUUCGGGGGCAGAGUGACAGGUGGUGCAUGGUUGUYGUCAGCUCGUGUYGUGAGAUGUUGGGUUAAGUCCCGCAACGAGCGCAACCCUUGAUUUUAGUUGCCAGCAUUCAGUUGGGCACUUUAAGGUGACUGCCGGUGACAAACCGGAGGAAGGUGGGGAUGACGUCAAAUCAUCAUGCCCCUUAUGACCUGGGCUACACACGUGCUACAAUGGGCAGAACAAAGGGCAGCGAAACCGCGAGGUUAAGCCAAUCCCACAAAUYUGUUYUCAGUUCGGAUCGCAGUUUGCAACUUGAMUGCGUGAAGCYGGAAUCGCUUGUAAUCGCGGAUCAGCAUGCCGCGGUGAAUACGUUCCCGGGCCUUGUACACACCGCCCGUCACACCACGAGAGUUUGUAACACCCGAAGUCGGUGAGGUAACCUUUUUGGAGCCAGCCGCCGAAGGUGGGACAGAUGAUUGGGGUGAAGUCGUA